GGAGAGGCCGGGCGAGGCCGUCCAAGGCCGGGGCGGUCCCUCCAGUUUCCGCCUGCUCGGGACCCGCUCAGCCAGCCCUCCUGCCGUCUCCACGUCGUCGUCGUCCUCCUGCACGGGUGCCAUCCCAGGGGCCCGCUGGACUCCGCCCAGGAAUCAGGUUCCCCAGAAGGGUGACUCCAAGGAGACCUCAUGUCAGUCACCUGGGUCCAGGUACAAAUCAUGGGUAACAGAAAAUGACCCAAAACGCAGAUGAUGCCACCCGCCCCCAUCGAGGCACAGGAAGAGGCUGCCAUCCAGAGCUGUGUAAGGAUGUCCAGCUGCGGGGUAGCCAGUGAAAGACAAGUUUACA